rnacentral:lncRNA from 1 species
UGAUAGUUGAAGAUCACUACAUAGUGAGAUACACAAUCUGAAUAAAUAUGUGCUAAUAUUCCUUGAAUACCUGCUUUAGAAAACUUCAAGUCUUACACCUGUUCAAAUUUCUAAUAUCCCUACUUGCUUAGCUCUGACCGAACUCAUCUAGAAAUGUUUUUCAUAGUGAACAGGGUUAUUUAGUUCCUAUAUAGACAUUACUGC